UACAGAGGGGGGCAAGCGUUGUUCGGAAUUACUGGGCGUAAAGGGCGCGUAGGCGGCCUGCUAAGUCGAACGUGAAAAUCCCCUGGGCUCAACCCAGGAACUGCGUCCGAUACUGGUUGGCUUGAAUCCGGGAGAGGGAUGCGGAAUUCCAGGUGUAGCGGUGAAAUGCGUAGAUAUCUGGAGGAACACCGGUGGCGAAGGCGGCAUCCUGGACCGGUAUUGACGCUGAGGCGCGAAAGCCAGGGGGAGCAAACGGG
rnacentral:rRNA from 1 species